GUGAGGAAUUUUCCGCAAUGGGCGAAAGCCUGACGGAGCAAUGCCGCGUGAAGGAUGAAGGCCUAUGGGUUGUAAACUUCUUUUCUCAGAAAAGAAUUAUGACGGUAUCUGAGGAAUAAGCAUCGGCUAACUCUGUGCCAGCAGCCGCGGUAAGACAGAGGAUGCAAGCGUUAUCCGGAAUGAUUUGGCGUAAAGCGUCUGUAGGUUGUUUAAAAAGUAUUCUGUCAAAGAUUAGGGCUUAACCCUAGAUAGGCAGAAUAAACUUUUAAGCUAGAGUUUGGUAGAGGCAGAGGGAAUUCCCGGUGGAGCGGUGAAAUGCGUAGAUAUCGGGAGGAACACCAAAGGCGAAGGCACUCUGCUGGGCCAAUACUAACACUGAGAGACGAAAGCGAGGGGAGCAAAUGGGAUUAGAUACCCGAGUAGUCC
rnacentral:rRNA from 1 species